rnacentral:rRNA from 1 species
UUGACCUCAAAUCAGGUGGGACUACCCGCUGAACUUAAGCAUAUCAAUAAGCGGAGGAAAAGAAACUAACAAGGAUUCCCCUAGUAACUGCGAGUGAAGCGGGAAAAGCUCAAAUUUAAAAUCUGGCGGUCUCCGGCCGUCCGAGUUGUAGUCUGGAGAAGCGUUUUCCGCGYUGGACCGUGUACAAGUCUCCUGGAACGGAGCGUCAUAGAGGGUGAGAAUCCCGUCUUUGACACGGACCCCAGUGCUUUGUGAUGCGCUCUCAAAGAGUCGAGUUGUUUGGGAAUGCAGCUCAAAAUGGGUGGUGAAUUCCAUCUAAAGCUAAAUAUUGGCGAGAGACCGAUAGCGAACAAGUACCGUGAGGGAAAGAUGAAAAGCACUUUGGAAAGAGAGUUAAACAGUACGUGAAAUUGUUGAAAGGGAAACGCUUGAAGUCAGUCGCGUUGGCCGGGACUCAGCCUUGCAUUUGCUUGGUGUACUUUCCGGUCGACGGGCCAGCAUCAGUUUUGACCGCGGGAUAAAGGCAGAGGGAAUGUGGCUCCUCCGGGAGUGUUAUAGCCCUUCGUCAGAUGUCGCGGUUGGGACUGAGGAACUCAGCACGCCUUUAUGGCCGGGGUUCGCCCACGUACGUGCUUAGGAUGCUGGCGUAAUGGCUUUAAACGACCCGUCUUGAAACACGGACCAAGGAGUCUAACAUGCCUGCGAGUGUUCGGGUGGAAAACCCGUGCGCGUAAUGAAAGUGAAAGUUGGGAUCCCUGUCGUGGGGUGCACCGACGCCCGGACCAGACCUUCUGUGACGGAUCUGCGGUAGAGCAUGUAUGUUGGGACCCGAAAGAUGGUGAACUAUGCCUGAAUAGGGUGAAGCCAGAGGAAACUCUGGUGGAGGCUCGUAGCGAUUCUGACGUGCAAAUCGAUCGUCAAAUUUGGGUAUAGGGGCGAAAGACUAAUCGAACCAUCUAGUAGCUG